GGGGUCAACACUUCGCUGGUCAGUCUGGUCCAGAGUUCUCCUGUUGAGGACAGAGUGGAUGACUUCACUCAGUCACAAAAAUAACCUUGUUCAGGGCAGGUCCUAUUCUGUCUGAGGGGACUGAGGGUAGAGAACCUUGUUCAGGGUAGGUCCUAUUCUGUCUGAGGGUAGAGAACCUUGUUCAGGGCAGGUCCUAUUCUGUCUGAGGGUAGAGAACCUUGUUCAGGGCAGGUCCUAUUCUGUCUGAGGGUAGAGAACCUUGUUCAGGGCAGGUCCUAUUCUGUCUGAGGGUAGAGAACCUUGUUCAGGGCAGGUCCUAUUCUGACUGAGGGUAGAGAACCUUGUUCAGGGCAGGUCCUAUUCUGUCUGAGGGUAGAGAACCUUGUUCAGGGCAGGCCCUAGUCUGUCUGAGGGUAGAGAACCUUGUUCAGGGCAGGCCCUAGUCUGUCUGAGGGUAGAGAACCUUGUUCAGGGCAGGUCCUAUUCUGUCUGAGGGUAGAGAACCUUGUUCAGGGCAGGUCCUAUUCUGUCUGAGGGUAGAGAACCUUGUUCAGGGCAGGUCCUAGUCUGUCUGAGGGUAGAGAACCUUGUUCAGGGUAGGUCCUAUUCUGUCUGAGGGUAGAGAACCUUGUUCAGGGUAGGUCCUAUUCUGUCUGAGGGGACUGAGGGUAGAGAACCUUGUUCAGGGCAGGUCCUAUUCUGUCUGAGGGUAGAGAACCUUGUUCAGGGCAGGUCCUAUUCUGUCUGAGGGGACUGAGGGUAGAGAACCUUGUUCAGGGCAGGUCCUAUUCUGUCUGAGGGUAGAGAACCUUGUUCAGGGCAGGUCCUAUUCUGUCUGAGGGUAGAGAACCUUGUUCAGGGCAGGUCCUAUUCUGUCUGAGGGUAGAGAACCUUGUUCAGGGCAGGUCCUAUUCUGUCUGAGGGUAGAGAACCUUGUUCAGGGCAGGUCCUAUUCUGUCUGAGGGUAGAGA